AGGUCCCCAGUAGGGGGCAAGUGAGGGGCACCCCACUGAUGUGUGUCUCACACAUCGACGUCUCUCUCCUUUUCUUUCUCCCUCCCUUCCCCUCUUUCUAAAAAUAAAUAAAUAAAAUCUU